rnacentral:rRNA from 1 species
AUUGAACGCUGGCGGCAGGCCUAACACAUGCAAGUCGAACGGUAACAGGAAGCAGCUUGCUGCUUCGCUGACGAGUGGCGGACGGGUGAGUAAUGUCUGGGAAGCUGCCUGAUGGAGGGGGAUAACUACUGGAAACGGUAGCUAAUACCGCAUAAUGUCGCAAGACCAAAGAGGGGGACCUUCGGGCCUCUUGCCAUCGGAUGUGCCCAGAUGGGAUUAGCUUGUUGGUGGGGUAACGGCUCACCAAGGCGGCGAUCCCUAGCUGGUCUGAGAGGAUGACCAGCCACACUGGAACUGAGACACGGUCCAGACUCCUACGGGAGGCAGCAGUGGGGAAUAUUGCACAAUGGGCGCAAGCCUGAUGCAGCCAUGCCGCGUGUAUGAAGAAGGCCUUCGGGUUGUAAAGUACUUUCAGCGGGGAGGAAGGGAGUAAAGUUAAUACCUUUGCUCAUUGACGUUACCCGCAGAAGAAGCACCGGCUAACUCCGUG